CACGUAGGGCGCAAGCGUUGUCCGGAAUUAUUGGGCGUAAAGGGUGCGUAGGCGGUUUGGUAAGUCUUAUGUGAAAUCUACAGGCUCAACUUGUAGUCUGCAUGAGAAACUGCCGGGCUUGAGUAUGGGAGAGGUGAGUGGAAUUCCUGGUGUAGCGGUGAAAUGCGUAGAUAUCGGGAGGAACACCUGUGGCGAAAGCGGCUCACUGGACCACAACUGACGCUGAGGCGCGAAAGCUAGGGGAGCAAACAGG
rnacentral:rRNA from 1 species